AUACGGAGGGUGCGAGCGUUAUUCGGAAUUACUGGGCGUAAAGCGCGUGCAGGCGGUUUGACAAGUCUGAUGUGAAAGCCCCGGGCUUAGCCUGGGAAGUGCAUUGGAAACUGUUGGACUUGAGUACUGGAGAGGAAGGGGGAAUUCCCGGUGUAGAGGUGAAAUUCGUAGAGAUCGGGAGGAAUACCAGUGGCGAAGGCGCCCUUCUGGACGGCUACUGACGCUGAGACGCGAAAGCGUGGGGAGCAAACAGGAUUAGAUACCCUGGUAGUCCACGCUGUAAACGAUGAGUGUUAGGUGUAGGGGGCUUGAAGCUUUCUGUGCCGCAGUAAACGCAAUAAACACUCCGCCUGGGGAGUACGGUCGCAAGACUAAA
rnacentral:rRNA from 1 species